UCUCCUUGUUGAAAGUAUAAAUCGUGAAACGGAAAGUCUUUGCAGGAGCUGUAGGACAAUGGAUCUUGCAGGUAAACAACAGCCUCUAAGGCCAUAAUUAGCUACAAAAUUAGUUGAAAGUAUACUAAAAAAAAUAUGAAAAGGGUCCGAGAGAGAGAGAAAAGAAAGACAGAAAGUGAUUGUCUCUCUCUUUUUGCUUCGAGAGGAAGACAAGUCAAAAGCAAAACUGAAGAACAAAAAGGAAAGAGAAAAGAAACAAGAAGGUCAAACAAGAUCGUGGUUUAGAUGGAUGGAAGAGAGGAGAAGCUUGUGAGGGUAUAAGGCUGAUAUAUAUUCGUAGUAACAGAAUAA